UUAAAUGAUUGAUAUUAAUAUAUUCAAAUAUAUAUAUAUAUAUAUAUAUAUAUAUAUAUAUAUAGUUAUAUUGUAAAAUUAAACAUUAUGUGGUUAAUGUAGAAGAGAAAGUUGGGAAAAAUACAUGCUCAAAGACCUGUACCUGUUAGGACUACUUUCAAUUAAUACUUAUCAACAAACAGUCAAGAAGAGCAUGAGGAGAGAGACUUUAUCUUCACGAAUAUUGAGAUCGCCAUACACAACGAAAUUUGGCUCUGCAGAGCCAAAAAAGGGAAUGAUAGAGUUUAAUGCUCAAGGAUUUGAAGCACCAAGCUUUAAAUUGCUCUCCCAAGGUCUUUAGAAGAAUGCGUUAUUUGCUUCUGUUUUUUUUUAACAUGAACUGAAGGAACAGAUUUGUAUUUUAGAAUGAAGUAAUUUAAAUAUUGUUAUUUGCUUUCUAAUUUA